GGUUGUGGCCCAGUGGUAGAGUGCUUGCCUAGCAUACACCAGGCACUGGGUUCAAUCCUCAGCACCA
rnacentral:tRNA from 1 species